rnacentral:rRNA from 1 species
GUCUACGGCCAUACCACCCUGAACGCGCCCAAUCUCGUCUGAUCUCGGAAGCUAAGCAGGGUCGGGCCUGGUUAGUACUUGGAUGGGAGACCGAAAUGCCCAUUAAAAAAAAUUAAGCCUUCAAAGAAU